rnacentral:rRNA from 1 species
UACGGAGGGUGCAAGCGUUAUCCGGAUUCACUGGGUUUAAAGGGUGCGUAGGUGGCUUUGUAAGUCAGUGGUGAAAGCCCGGAGCUCAACUCCGGAACUGCCAUUGAUACUGCUUAGCUUGAAUCAGGUCGAGGUGGAUGGAAUAUUACAUGUAGCGGUGAAAUGCUUAGAUAUCGUAAGGAAGACCAGUGGCGAAGGCGGGUCUCUGGACAGUUCCUGACGCUGAGGCACGAAGGCCAGGGGAGCAAACGGGG